rnacentral:rRNA from 1 species
CCUGACGCAGCGACGCCGCGUGAGUGAGGAAGGCCUUCGGGUCGUAAAGCUCUGUCAAGAGGGAAGAAGUGCACUAUGGUUAAUACCCGUAUUGCUUGACGGUACCUCUAAGGGAAGCACCGGCUAACUCCGUGCCAGCAGCCGCAGUAAA